rnacentral:rRNA from 1 species
GACGAACGCUGGCGGCGUGCUUAACACAUGCAAGUCAGGGGGCCCGCGAGGGUCACCGGCGAACGGGUGCGUAACACGUGAGCGACCUGCCCUCGAGUGGGGGAUAGCCGGCCCAACGGCCGGGUAAUACCGCAUACGACGGCGGCGGGGCAUCCCGCUGCCGUGAAACCUUCGGGGUUCGAGGAGGGGCUCGCGGCCUAUCAGCUAGUUGGCGGGGUAACGGCCCACCAAGGCGAUGACGGGUAGCUGGUCGAGAGGAUGGCCAGCCACAUUGGGACUGGGAGACGGCCCAGACUCCUACGGGAGGCAGCAGUGGGGAAUCUUGCGCAAUGGCCGAAAGCCUGACGCAGCGACGCCGCGUGAGGGAUGAAGGCCUUGGUU